AUUGAACGCUGGCGGCAGGCCUAACACAUGCAAGUCGAGCGGAUGAAGGGAGCUUGCUCCUGGAUUCAGCGGCGGACGGGUGAGUAAUGCCUAGGAAUCUGCCUGGUAGUGGGGGAUAACGUCCGGAAACGGGCGCUAAUACCGCAUACGUCCUGAGGGAGAAAGUGGGGGAUCUUCGGACCUCACGCUAUCAGAUGAGCCUAGGUCGGAUUAGCUAGUUGGUGGGGUAAAGGCCUACCAAGGCGACGAUCCGUAACUGGUCUGAGAGGAUGAUCAGUCACACUGGAACUGAGACACGGUCCAGACUCCUACGGGAGGCAGCAGUGGGGAAUAUUGGGCAAUGGGCGAAAGCCUGAUCCAGCCAUGCCGAGUGUGUGAAGAAGGUCUUCGGAUUGUAAAGCACGUUAAGUUGGGAGGAAGGGCAGUAAGUUAAUACCUUGCUGUUUUGACGUUACCAACAGAAUAAGCACCGGCUAACUUCGUG
rnacentral:rRNA from 1 species